AUUGAACGCUGGCGGCAGGCUUAACACAUGCAAGUCGAGCGCCCCGCAAGGGGAGCGGCAGACGGGUGAGUAACGCGUGGGAAUCUACCCAUCUCUACGGAAUAACGCAUGGAAACGUGUGCUAAUACCGUAUACGUCCUUCGGGAGAAAGAUUUAUCGGAGAUGGAUGAGCCCGCGUUGGAUUAGCUAGUUGGUGGGGUAAAGGCCUACCAAGGCGACGAUCCAUAGCUGGUCUGAGAGGAUGAUCAGCCACACUGGGACUGAGACACGGCCCAGACUCCUACGGGAGGCAGCAGUGGGGAAUAUUGGACAAUGGGCGCAAGCCUGAUCCAGCCAUGCCGCGUGAGUGAUGAAGGCCCUAGGGUUGUAAAGCUCUUUCACCGGUGAAGAUAAUGACGGUAACCGGAGAAGAAGCCCCGGCUAACUUCGUGCCAGCCGCCGCGGUAAUAC
rnacentral:rRNA from 1 species